rnacentral:rRNA from 1 species
GAUGCAGCGACGCCGCGUGGAGGAUGACGGAUCUAGGUCUGUAAACUCCUUUUUCAUGGAAAGACUUAGGACGGUACCAUGAGAAUAAGGACCGGCUAACUACGUGCCAGCAGCCGCGGUAAGACGUAGGGUCCAAGCGUUGUCCGGAUUUACUGGGCGUAAAGAGCGCGUAGGCGGCUCGUUAAGUGUGGUGUGAAAUCUCCAGGGCUCAACCCGGAAACUGCACCGCAUACUGGCGAGCUUGAGGAAUGCAGAGGUAACUGGAAUUCCUGGUGUAGCGGUGAAAUGCGUUGAUAUCAGGAGGAACACCCAUGGCGAAGGCAGGUUACUGGGCAUUAUCUGACGCUGAGGCGCGAAAGCGUGGGUAGCAAACAGGAUUAGAUACCCUGGUAGUCCACGCCCUAAACGAUGGAUACUAGACGUAAGAGGUAUCGACCCCUCUUGUGUCGCAGCUAACGCACUAAGUAUCCCGCCUGGGGAGUACGGCCGCAAGGUUG